rnacentral:lncRNA from 1 species
GUCACUGAUGAGUCUUUUGUAGACGAAACGCGCGUCUGGCGUAUAUACUAAAUUUAGUCCUGGUAUCUAUGAUGAGUUUAUUUACAACCACUGGGUCGAUGCCACUGCUGGUGGAGAUUUAUUUCCCCGAGGGUAUCACAAGCCCAGUAGUCAGCACUUUUUGUGCUGACAUGAAUUGUCAUUGAUAUGGUUAUAUUUAUAAAUUUGCUGUUUACAAAUUUUUGAAUAUUUUGAAAUACUAAGGCUUUUCUACCUCAG